GACGAACGCUGGCGGCGUGCUUAACACAUGCAAGUCGAACGGAAAGGCCCUGCUUUUGUGGGGUGCUCGAGUGGCGAACGGGUGAGUAACACGUGAGUAACCUGCCCUUGACUUUGGGAUAACUUCAGGAAACUGGGGCUAAUACCGGAUAGGAGCUCCUGCUGCAUGGUGGGGGUUGGAAAGUUUCGGCGGUUGGGGAUGGACUCGCGGCUUAUCAGCUUGUUGGUGGGGUAGUGGCUUACCAAGGCUUUGACGGGUAGCCGGCCUGAGAGGGUGACCGGCCACAUUGGGACUGAGAUACGGCCCAGACUCCUACGGGAGGCAGCAGUGGGGAAUAUUGCACAAUGGGCGGAAGCCUGAUGCAGCAACGCCGCGUGCGGGAUGACGGCCUUCGGGUUGUAAACCGCUUUCGCCUGUGACGAAGCGUGAGUAACGGUAAUGGGUAAAGAAGCACCGGCUAACUACGUGCCAGCAGCCGCGGUGAUACGUAGGGUGCGAGCGUUGUCCGGAUUUAUUGGGCGUAAAGGGCUCGUAGGUGGUUGAUCGCGUCGGAAGUGUAAUCUUGGGGCUUAACCCUGAGCGUGCUUUCGAUACGGGUUGACUUGAGGAAGGUAGGGGAGAAUGGAAUUCCUGGUGGAGCGGUGGAAUGCGCAGAUAUCAGGAGGAACACCAGUGGCGAAGGCGGUUCUCUGGGCCUUUCCUGACGCUGAGGAGCGAAAGCGUGGGGAGCGAACAGGCUUAGAUACCCUGGUAGUCCACGCUGUAAACGGUGGGUACUAGGUGUGGGGUCCAUUCCACGGGUUCCGUGCCGUAGCUAACGCUUUAAGUACCCCGCCUGGGGAGUACGGCCGCAAGGCUAAAACUCAAAGGAAUUGACGGGGCCCCGCACGAGCGGCGGAGCAUGCGGAUUAAUUCGAUGCAACGCGUAGAACCUUACCUGGGUUUGACAUGGAUCGGGAGCGCUCAGAGAUGGGUGUGCCUCUUUUGGGGUCGGUUCACAGGUGGUGCAUGGCUGUCGUCAGCUCGUGUCGUGAGAUGUUGGGUUAAGUCCCGCAACGAGCGCAACCCUUGUUCACUGUUGCCAGCACGUUAUGGUGGGGACUCAGUGGAGACCGCCGGGGUCAACUCGGAGGAAGGUGGGGAUGACGUCAAGUCAUCAUGCCCCUUAUGUCCAGGGCUUCACGCAUGCUACAAUGGCUGGUACAGAGAGUGGCGAGCCUGUGAGGGUGAGCGAAUCUCGGAAAGCCGGUCUCAGUUCGGAUUGGGGUCUGCAACUCGACCUCAUGAAGUCGGAGUCGCUAGUAAUCGCAGAUCAGCAACGCUGCGGUGAAUACGUUCCCGGGGCU
rnacentral:rRNA from 1 species